rnacentral:lncRNA from 10 species
UAUGUGCUUGCAACUAAGACAAUGUGCAACUGAGAAGUCUAGAGUAAUGGUUGCCCAAAGAAGUGCUCUAACUGAGGAGGCAGUAGCAUAGCCUGAACCAACUUCCAGGUACAUCCCCAGCUUACUCCGACCUCUCUGAACUUCCUGGACCAGAUCUGUUUCCUCUGCCUGCAUGCUCUAGCCUACCAUCUUCCUCUCCUUGUCUGCUACUCACUCAACAGAAGGCAACAGGGUGGUCUACUUCUACAACUCCGUCUCCUGAUGAUUUCACAACAGUCUCCCUGGCAGCCUUUCAUCUGGAAGAAGUGGAAAAGGGGGAACCUGUAGGAACAUCUCUCAUGAUCACACCAUAUAGGGAAUGACCAGUAACAGCUGCCAAUCAGAUUAAUCAAACAUGGAAAAAAAAGAUGAGGUUGCAAUUGGGGGAAUAGGAUGCAAUUUUCCAGGAGAUUGAAUGAAUUUGACAAUAACUUGUUUGGAAUUAGUGACUUGGAAGCUGAAUGUCUGGAUCCUCAGCAGAAAUUGCUUCUGGA